ACAGGAGCGGCUGGAGGAUGCCCAACCUUCAGGAGGAGAAGUGCCAGAAUCUGAGCCAGACACAUCUCAACAGAUUAGACAAAAGAAACUCUCUAAAGGAAAAUCUUCACGGAUUCUAGAAGAACCUCAGAGAUCACAGGAGCGGCUGGAGGAUGCCCAACCUUCAGGAGGUACAAAAAAGGUAAAGAGAAAGUGGUCCAUGCAG